rnacentral:rRNA from 1 species
GACGAACGCUGGCGGCGUGCUUAACACAUGCAAGUCGAACGGGUCUGCCCUGUUUUUUGCGGGGUGGGUCAGUGGCGAACGGGUGAGUAACACGUGAGUAACCUGCCCCUCACUUCUGGAUAACCGCUUGAAAGGGUGGCUAAUACGGGGUGUUCUGGCUGUGCCGCAUGGUGUGGCUGGGAAAGAUUCACUUUUGUGGUGUUUUGGUGGGGGAUGGGCUCGCGGCCUAUCCGCUUGUUGGUGGGGGGAUGGCCUGCCAGGGCUUUGACGGGUAGCCGGCCGGGGAGGGUGGGCGGUCACACUGGGACUGAGAUACGGCCCAGACUCCUGCGGGAGGCAGCAGUGGGGGGUAGUGCACAAUGGGCGGAAGCCUGAUGCAGCGACGUCGCGUGAGGGAUGGAGGCCUUCGGGUUGUGAACCUCUUUCGCCGGUGAAGAAGGUCCUGCUCUUUGUGGUGGGGUUGACGGUAGCCGGGUUAUGAAGCGCCGGCUAACUACGUG